GGAUCACAUUGGUUCUGGAUCGAUAUCCCAUAAGGCAGGUGGGUAGAUAAUCAAACUGAUCACAAUACUUCAUCAGAACCUAAUUUAGAUUAGCUCAGAUCGAUAUUUAGAUGAACUGAGUUAAAACAGAUCGACAUUUAGUUGAGUUGAAUUGAACCAGAUCGGCAUUCAGCCUUCUGAUGAGGUCAGCCUUCUGAUGAGGUCGGAUUUAUGAUGAUCUCAGCUUUUCAUUCAGGUCAGCUUUAUAAUGAUCUCAGUCUCCAGUUG
rnacentral:lncRNA from 1 species